CUGGCUCAGGACGAACGCUGGCGGCGUGCUUAACACAUGCAAGUCGAGCGAUGAAGCUCCUUCGGGAGUGGAUUAGCGGCGGACGGGUGAGUAACACGUGGGUAACCUGCCUCAUAGAGGGGAAUAGCCUUUCGAAAGGAAGAUUAAUACCGCAUAAGAUUGUAGUACCGCAUGGUACAGCAAUUAAAGGAGUAAUCCGCUAUGAGAUGGACCCGCGUCGCAUUAGCUAGUUGGUGAGGUAACGGCUCACCAAGGCGACGAUGCGUAGCCGACCUGAGAGGGUGAUCGGCCACAUUGGGACUGAGACACGGCCCAGACUCCUACGGGAGGCAGCAGUGGGGAAUAUUGCACAAUGGGGGAAACCCUGAUGCAGCCAACGCCGCGUGAGUGAUGACGGUCUUCGGAUUGUAAAGCUCUGUCUUUAGGGACGAUAAUGACGGUACCUAAGGAGGAAGCCACGGCUAACUACGUGCCAGCAGCAGC
rnacentral:rRNA from 1 species